GGGUGUUAGAGCAAACUGCACUCACAGUGUGCUCACUCAGACUGAUACUCAGCCAGGACAGGGGUGUUAAAUAAACUGCACUCCCAGUGUGCUCACUCAACUGAUACUCAGCCGGGACAGG